AACGAACGCUGGCGGCAUGCCUAACACAUGCAAGUCGAACGAGACCUUCGGGUCUAGUGGCGCACGGGUGCGUAACGCGUGGGAACCUGCCCUUAGGUUCGGAAUAACUCCCCGAAAGGGGUGCGAAUACCGGAUAAUGUCUUCGGACCAAAGAUUUAUCGCCUUUGGAUGGGCCCGCGUUGGAUUAGCUAGUUGGUAGGGUAAAAGCCUACCAAGGCGACGAUCCAUAGCUGGUCUGAGAGGAUGAUCAGCCACACUGGGACUGGGACACGGCCCAGACUCCUACGGGAGGCAGCAGUGGGUAAUAUUGGAAAAUGGGCGGAAGCCUGAUCCAGCAAUGCCGCGUGAGUGAUGAAGGCCUGAGGGUUGUAAAGCUCUUUUACCCGGGAUGAUAAUGACAUUACCGGGAGAAUAAGCUCCGGCUAACUCCGUG
rnacentral:rRNA from 1 species